GCUCUGUCUUUGAGCCCCUGUUGCACCUGUGCAUGGCGCGGCGCCGGGGAGAGAGCACAGGCUGCAGUGCUAGAAUAUGCGCUUGCGUAUAACGGGUCAUCUGUCCCUGCCACGGGUAGCCCUUUUAACUGCUAGCAAGACAG